AAAUGUAAUGAUAAUCAAGUAAUUAACUAAUCUUGGAAAUCUUGCUUGCUCAAAAAGGCCCCCACCUCCACCUGCAGAUCGGAAAACAAGUGGGCAUAUCCAAUUAAAGAGAUUUAUUUCUUUAAAAAUGAAUAGACAAAACUCAAUUAGUGAGGACAGCUACCUGUGUCGGCGUAGAAGCCAGCAUACCCACUUCACAGAGAGAGAAGAAGAAGCACCCUGAGCUAAGCUGGACUAUUGCUUGCUUCACCCCUCAAUGAUUAAGCCGAGGCCAACCACAUUCGGCUGAGCCCGCAUUGCUUGCAAUGAG
rnacentral:lncRNA from 1 species